rnacentral:snoRNA from 1 species
UGACUAUCCUGUCAGGUUUCACUUGUGGAGCACAGUACCCUAGAAGACUCACCUGGAGGAGUGAGCACAGCUUCAUGGGCUCAUGCCACAGCACUUCUAGACCCUU